GACGAACGCUGGCGGCGUGCCUAAUACAUGCAAGUAGAACGCUGAAGGAGGAGCUUGCUUCUCUGGAUGAGUUGCGAACGGGUGAGUAACGCGUAGGUAACCUGCCUGGUAGCGGGGGAUAACUAUUGGAAACGAUAGCUAAUACCGCAUAAUAGUAGAUGUCGCAUGACAUUUGCUUAAAAGGUGCAAUUGCAUCACUACCAGAUGGACCUGCGUUGUAUUAGCUAGUUGGUGAGGUAACGGCUCACCAAGGCAACGAUACAUAGCCGACCUGAGAGGGCGAUCGGCCACACUGGGACUGAGACACGGCCCAGACUCCUACGGGAGGCAGCAGUAGGGAAUCUUCGGCAAUGGACGGAAGUCUGACCGAGCAACGCCGCGUGAGGGAAGAAGGUUUUCGGAUCGUAAAGCUCUGUUGUAAGAGAAGAACGAGUGUGAGAGUGGAAAGUUCACACUGUGACGGUAUCUUACCAGAAAGGGACGGCUAACUACGUG
rnacentral:rRNA from 1 species